AUGAGGCCUCUACGCGCCGUCGCUCUGCUCCUCCUCGCGGCGGCAGCAGCCGCGGCCGCCGCGACGCCGUGGGCGGGGAGCGGCCAGGAGCCCGGCUCCAUCAGCAAAGACGACUUCCCUGGGGACUUCAGCUUCGGGGCUAGCACAUCAGCUUAUCAGUGGGAAGGCGCGGCGGCGGAGGACGGCCGGACUCCCAGCGUCUGGGACACCUUCGCUCACGCUCACGCCCACGCCGGUGAUGACUCUGUAAAUGGUGAUGUGGCAGCUGACGGCUACCAUAAGUACAAGGAGGAUAUCAAAUUAAUGAAGGAGACCGGACUGGAUUCUUAUAGAUUCUCUAUCUCUUGGUCAAGGCUUAUUCCUAAAGGAAGAGGAGAAGUCAAUCCAAAAGGAGUAGGAUACUACAAUAAUCUCAUCAAUGAACUUCUUGAUCAUGGAAUUCAACCACAUGCAACGAUUUUCCAGUAUGAUCUUCCUCAAAUCCUUGAAGAUGAAUAUGGUGGAUGGUUGAAUCCCCAAAUAAUUGAUGAUUUCACAGCAUACGCAGAUGUGUGCUUUAGGGAAUUUGGGGAUAGGGUUACCAAUUGGACCACUCUAAAUGAACCUAACGCUUUAGUUUCGGUUGGCUAUGAUGCUGGUAUUGGGCCACCAGGGAGAUGUUCUAAACCAUUUGGAUUUGCUGACUGUUCCUGUGGGGACUCUGUAAACGAGCCAUACGUUGUAGCUCAUAAUUGCUUAUUGGCUCAUAGCUCAGCUGUGUCACUAUACAGAAGAAAGUAUCAGACAAAGCAACACGGACUUAUUGGCAUGAAUAUAUGUAUAAAUAACAUAUUACCUUAUACAAAUUCAACCGAAGAUAUAGCUGCAGCGAAAAGAGCACAAGCCUUCUACACAGGCUGGUUCUUGGAUCCUCUCUAUUAUGGAGACUACCCACUUGUGAUGAAGGAGAAUACUGGCUCCAAGUUGCCAAAAUUUUCUCGAAGCCAGUCUAAACAACUAAUCAAUUCUAUGGACUUUCUUGGCAUCAAUUACUACACAUUUUUGUACGUGAAGGAUGACCCGCAUCAUGCUCCUAGCAACAAAAGGAAUUUCAGGGCUGAUAUGGCUGCUAAAUCAAUAUUUUCAAGCAAUUCUACCAGUGGGUUCUAUGUGCCAGGUUAUGGUAUACACCAAGUGCUUGAAUAUUUGAAGCAAUUUUAUGGUAAUCCUCCAAUCUAUAUCCAUGAGAAUGGAUAUCCAAUGCAUCAAGAUGUGGUAUUUGAUGAUGGCCCUAGGGUGGAAUUCUUGAGUGAACAUCUUAAAAACCUUCUUAUUGCUGUCAGGAACGGUUCGAAUACUAGGGGCUACUUUGCCUGGUCGCUGAUGGAUUUAUAUGAACUACUUAGUGUCGGGGACACGUAUGGGCUGUAUUACGUGGAUUUCGCUGAUGAGGAUCUCAAGAGAUACCCAAGGAGCUCUGCGAUUUGGUACAAGGAUUUUCUCAAGGAGAGGCGCACGGAGAGAUUCUCCGACCAUUAG
rnacentral:rRNA from 1 species